ensembl:lncRNA
CAUCUUUUACCUUCUUUUCCCACAUAAAAUUAUUGAGGGGACCUGGAGGGGUGCAAUCAAGAAAGUUUAAACCAUCAGAUUGGGGUUCCUGGGUGCCCUCCUUGGCUGGAUGGACUUCCUGUGGGAGACAGACCUGGAGCCAGGAGUGGGGAGAGGGGAUGCCAGCUUGUGGAUAAAGUGUUCUCCCCAGCCCUUCCUCACCAGAGGGUGAAACUCCAUCAGGUUGAAGCCCAGUGCCGGCCGGAAGCUGCCUUUGCAGCAAAUGAGAGAUUCCUUCUGUCUCUGAAAUUCUCAUGCUCAGGGGGAGCUGUCCCUCCAAGGCCUGUGGUCAGGAGAGGGGACUGUGUGUUGAGGGUGUGUGGGGAGGGGCAGAGGCUCAUCCACCAGGCAAGGAAGCCAGAACGAGCUACAGUGCAAAAGGCCUUUGGAAAGAUUGGAGAUUUCUCAGGUGCUGGGGACCCGGUAGAUUUCCAAGUUGUGGGUGAGGCUGCUGAGUGAGACCUCUGCCCCACAGACCACACUCAUCUAGUGCAGAGAUGGUCUGCUAGUCUCUGGCCACUCAGGAGGUGUUUGUCAUGCUAGUGGGGACCAUGAAAACCCUGAAACCCAAAGGCUCAGGCCCAGAGGUGGACAAGAGUCUUAAAAUGCGCAAGAGUGCCUCCCAAGUUUUUCUUUGAUUUGACUGGCAUUGAUGGAGCACCUGUUAUACCAGGGGAACUGCACGUGUGUGCGUGCUCAGUUCUGUGCUCUCCGACUCUUUGUGACCCUAUGGACUGUAGCCCGCCAGGUUCCUCUGUCCAUGAGAUUCUCCAGGCAAGAAUACUGGAAUGGGUUGCCAUGCUCCUCCAGGGAAUCUUCCUGACACAGGGAUCCAACCUCAUCUCCUGCAGCUCCUGCAUUGCAAGCGGCUUCUUCACCACUGAGCCACUGGGGAUGCUCGAGGGGAGCUGCACCAGCCUCCAGAGGGUGUUGCUGCCGCUGGUAACACAUGAGAUAGAAAGUCAAAUGCGAGCUGCUGUCAUAUUCCCCGGGGCCCAAAGGCCUUCCUGGAGAAAUGGGGGAGGAAGUGGUCCUCAGGAACGGCCAAUAUUUAAAAAAUCCUAUUCUUUUGGAUUUUUUUUUCCAUCCGGCAGCAACUCUAGGAACACGGGGACUCCAAUCUGCUUAUUUGGCACUUACCUGCCCAGCCUGACCUUCUCAUCUAAGACCAGACUUGAACACAAAGCCUGGAGGGUUGGUGCCCAGAAAUGGGGCAGAAGGAGGGGAGCGUCCAGGGGAGUGCCAAGCCCCUUUCUCCUGUGUCUUACUGGCUUCCAAGAAAACCAAGGAUGCACGUGGAGUGAGCUGGAGGCCACGAGAGGACAGACCACACCAGGCUCUGUGGAAUGGAAUCCUGAAUCCAGCGGUGCUCUGGGCGCUGGAGAACACAGUCGCUUUAAACCGUGUAACCCCAUCACAGAGAAAUGGAAGAAGAAAUUGAGCCUCUGUUGGCCUCUGGAUCUUGGAGUAUGCCCUUCCCACUUUUAUCACUAACCUGGAGAAUUCUGGAGACACUUCGUUUGCAUUUAAAGGAAUGUUUGCAUAGGAGGAGUCUUUCUGAAAUUGUUUGCAUCUGGGGAUUCAAAUUGCCUAAUUGGGUCCAGGAGUACUUUCUUAUUUGUGCGGUGAGGUGGCCUGGAUGGAGCCCACCUGACCUCCUGCCCUGAAGUGGGAUUCGUCUGCUCAGGUUGUCAAGGGUGUGGGAGGGGAUGGUGAGCAUUGCCUGUAGCACAGCAGGGCACUCCAGCUACUCAGGAAGUCCCAGGCUGCCUUUCCAUGUAACUGCGCCAAGGGAAAGCUUCCCAGACCUUUUGGAGUUCAAACAGCUCUUGUAAAAUGGCAUUUUGAUGAGCUGAGCAUAAAUGAAUUGGAAAUGUUCAGAUAAUGUUUCCCCAGGGUUUAAAAACCAAGGAGAAACGUGCUUGGCAAAGGGUCUAAGGGGCUGGGCCAAGAGUUUGAAAAGUGAUUUGAGAUGCUGUGAUGAACCCAAAUUACCACCAGUUUCUCCCAUCUUUGCUGGUGCAGAGGGCCUGAGGGAAGGGGCCUCAGGCAGGAGGAAAGAGCUCCUUUCUCCACCAGGGGGAAGGGAGAGCAGCUUUGACACCAUGGUCAUCUAAAGUGGGGCUUUCUCUAUGGGCUGAGUUUACUAUCAGAUCUGUCUAGCCAUCUCUCCAUCCAUUAUUCCAUCCAUCCUUCCAUCCAUCUAUCCAUCAUUCCAUCCAUCCAUUCAUCCAUCCAUCAUUCCACCCAUCCUUCUGUCCACCUAUCCAUCUAAUGAGUACUUAUUAAGCACGCACUGUGGACAUGACUCUGAGAAGACAGAAGAUAAUGAGCCUCAGUCCCUGACCUUUCAGAUCUCAGAGUUCUGGU